rnacentral:rRNA from 1 species
UCGUGUCGUGAGAUGUUGGGUUAUUCCCGCAACGAGCGCAACCCUUGUUUUUAGUUAUUUUUCUAGAAAGACUGCCGGUUAUAAGCCGGAGGAAGGCGGGGACGACGUCAAGUCAGCAUGCCCCUUACACCCUGGGCUACACACGUGCUACAUUGGGUAAGACAAUGAGUCGCGAACCUGUGAAGGUCAGCAAAUCUAUAAACUUACUCUACGUUCGGAUUGUAGGCUGUAACUCGCCUACAUGAAGUUGGAAUCGCUAGUAAUCGCUGGUCAGCCAUACAGCGGUGAAUCCGUUCCCGGGCCUUGUACACACCGCCCGUCACACCAUGGGAGUGGGUUGCAAAAGAAGUAGGUAGUCUAACCUUCGGGAGGACGCUUACCACUUUGUGAUUCAUGACUGGGGUGAAGUCGUAACAAGGUAGCCGUACGGGAAC